AUAUGAUUACAGAACAUGCUGCAUAAUAAUAUUACGUUGCUUGCACAUUUUGUGUUCAUCCAACACAGAUGAGCGUGAAUCUGCAACACAUUGGUUGUACUUAUGACAACAGUUUUUAGAGGGGACAAGUAAGGUUGUGUUUCACAGGACUUGUACCCAAGCAAUUAUCAUCGCAAGGACAACACUAUACCAGGCUCGACCAGACAGAGAUGCAGUGACCCCUGUUGCUGAGAAAAUAAUCAGAAUGACAGUGCUGAAUGAACAACGGACCCAUUUUUCAUGCUGUGGCAGCGCAGCGGCUGUUUUGUCGGUUUUGUGUUUCUACAUCAAGUUUGCACCGCAUUGGGGGUGGUGACAUCCAGCACAUUGCACCACAGCUCCUUGGGCCACCUCCGUCUGCUCUGCUUACACGAGUAGGUGCAAACCCUACUUACUCAAUAUUUUGGACUGGGUCUGAGUUUCCUCUUCAGAGGACUCAUCAGAUAAGUCAUCAAUGUCAUCAAAUGAGUCUUCUUCAUCUAGGAGAGCUGGAUUUACACCCACAACUCCAGAUUGACCCUGUGGCACAUAGUCUAGGUCAUCAGCAUCAGAUAUUUCAGACUGAAACAGGACAAGAAUUGCCUCAUCUUCCUCAUCAUGUUCUUCAUGCAUCAUCUCUAAAAACAUGUCAGCCAUUAAUCUAGAAUGACUGGGAUCAGCCAUACUAACACUCUGGAUAAAGAAAAUCAAAUGCACAAGAAUAUUUUCAAUAGCAUAUGAAACAUUUCUUCAAGUAUAUACUUACUAUAAAUUGUCACUGCCAGACAGAAACCUUGUAUGUCCAAAACUGUUACUUUUCAGGAACACUGACAGACCUAAAGGGUGACCAGUAGUAAUGAUUUGUGACAAAAAAAAUAAAUUAUGAAAUAUGGAGAUACAAUAUUUGUGCCAAUGAUAAGCAAUGAUAUAUAUUUGUAUAUAAUAAUGUAUUAUUUUUACUUUUAUUUUGUUGACCUAGCUAACAUUAGCUACCCAGAAUAGAGUAUGCUAUCUCACUUGUAAUGGAUUUCAAGAUCAAGGUAACAUUACCCUAACAGUCAAAUAUUAUAUCAGUUUAUCUUUCAAAAUAUAUCAAACAUUUUAUGUGGUAGUUAAAAAAAAUAAAUAAAUAAAUAAAAAUAAAUAAGACUGACAUGCGUGAAAUAUACUAUAUAUACAGUACAUGACUAUCUGAAUAUUUUUGGCCUUUGGUUUAGACCUCUAAAUGAAUGUCUACAUCUUGGCAAUACAUAUUUAGUAUUGUUCUUAUUUUAUAUAAUUUCUGAACAUAUAGGAUGUGUUUAAGACAAGUUUGUACAAUAUUUGCCUGCAUAUUUCAUGCAUACAUGUAUUUUGUUAAAUUAAUUUAAUAAAAAUAAUUAUGGGCUUUCACACCAGGUAUAGUUCUAGACAACAGGGCCAUCCAAGAGCUAUUUUUUUCCAUAGGGCACUUUUCCUAGUUGCAUUCACACCACCAGUAAUGAAGUGAUCUAAGUGAGGAAGUGAUCUAUCUAUGUUUUCCAUGUUCGUGGAGUAAGUGUAUGUAAACUGUGUGUUUACAUGGCUUUUUAAAAAUAAGUGCCAGAGUUCCGUAUGACAUGUGUUUGGCUAAUCAAUGUAUAUUUACAUAAUUGGUAGUUCCUAUUGUGCUGGGUUAAACCCUAAUCUGAGGUAGGAGCUAAUUUAGUCCCCCAGAAGGUGUUCCUAUAACUAAAACCAUUCCCAAAUCUUGCAGUGUGAACGCAUCGAAAAGUGGAUACUCUGCCAAAAGUUAUAGUUAUAUGAAAACAUUACUCUGCUGCAAAAGCUCCAAUUUACAUCAUGUUGUCCACUUUAUGUGUGGUGCGCUUGGAAUAGGACUUUCACUAGCAUUUAAUUUUACAUUCCUGUUUGUUCACAUGUCCUGUGUACAUUCUUUGUACUUAUUAUAGCAAUUGCAAUAACCAGGUAAUAACUAGGUAGGUAGUAACCCUGAACCUACCCCUAAACCUAUUGUAACCCAUGUAGUUACCUUAUACUACUGUACUCUCUUAAGCACACUGUAAAUACAUGUACUGUAAAAUAAA